AUUGAACGCUGGCGGCAGGCCUAACACAUGCAAGUCGAGCGGGAUUUUCGCAUCUAGCGGCGGCCGGGUGAGUAAUGCGUAGGAAGCCGCCCGAGAGAGGGGGAUACCAGUUGGAAACGACUGUUAAUACCGCAUAAUGUCUACGGACCACAGUGUGGGACCGUCGGGCCACAUGCUACCGGACGCGCCUACGUGGGAUUAGCUAGUUGGUGAGGUAAUGGCUCACCAAGGCGACGAUCUCUAGCUGGUUUGAGAGGAUGAUCAGCCACACUGGAACUGAGACACGGUCCAGACUCCUACGGGAGGCAGCAGUGGGGAAUAUUGGACAAUGGGCGCAAGCCUGAUCCAGCCAUGCCGCGUGUGUGAAGAAGGCCUUCGGGUUGUAAAGCACUUUCAGCGAGGAGGAAGGGGUAGUAGUUAAUAGCUGCUACUUUUGACGUUACUCGCAGAAGAAGCACCGGCUAACUCUGUGCCAGCAGCCGCAGUAAAAC
rnacentral:rRNA from 1 species